GUCUCUGUGGCGCAAUGGGUCAGUGCGUUCGGCUGUUAACCGAAAGGCUGGUGGUUGGAGCCCACUCAGCGAUG
rnacentral:tRNA from 1 species